CACCACGGCUUUAAACACAUGAUCCUCUGUAUUAAACCACCAGCCGUAUCCUACAAUCAAUACGUAACAAUAUCGUUAGUGCUUGUUGUAAACAGACGACACGCAUGCCUCUCAUGAUCAAAAAGGUUAGUGUAUACAUGUAUGACAUGUAUAUAGAGUAUACAUAUAUAUGUAUUAUAUAUGUAUAUUAUGUAUAUACAUAUAGACGCACACAACCAUCAUAUUCUUUGAAUAUCUUUUUCUUAACUUUUCUUUAUUCCAAAUAAUCUCACAAUCAAUCUCCUAAACUAAUUUUUGUGACUUGACUUCGAGAAGAAAAUUUAGAAUAGAAUAGAGAAAUUUGGAUUGUUACGCACUUAUAAAGGCAAGUUUAUCAUACAUAUGGUAACUCACAUGCUUCAUAGGAAAAGAAUCUCUCUAAUAAAAUAUUUAUUUAAAUUAUUUAUUAACACUAGUUUCUCUUUUUUUUUUUUUUUAAGAGUUUGGAAAAAAUAGUUUAAUUUCAUAAAAAAUGUGCAUUUUACGUACAUUUAUAGUUUAGACUUUUCUGAUUUAACAAUGAAAAAAACAAGAAUACAUUUCUAUCUAUAGAUUCCUAGGGGUUAAUAUAA